ACCUCCUUGAAAGCAAAGAGGAAGAAAGACAGCGAGUGAGGAGGAAAUUUUUGAAGUCUAUUGUUCGCUUGGACUGGCCAGAUUCAAGAAGCUUAGCGUGCAAAACAUAGCACAAGUCAAGCUGAAGUGUAGGUUUUUGUAGCUUUGUUGCUUCCUCCCUCUCAAACUCUAGAGAAGAAAUUUCAUAACUUUCAUCCAAGCUUGGAGAUUGAAGGAGGUACUUGGGUGUCUUUUUACCAUACCCAGUACGCAUCAAAUCAAAUCAGGGAUUAAGAAUUAGUUGCAUCAUCCGCAUGGUUACUCCUAUUCUUGCAAAAAAAGGUUAACGUGCAAGAAAGAAACUCCAAAACUUUUGCAUUAUUAUAGUUCACUAUGUCUCCUACCUGCUAUUCAGCUCUAAUUGAUCACGCUUAAUGGUUGAUAUGUUGCUCAUCCCCAACCAUCGGAUCAGCUGAAAAACAGUAACAUGCGGGGGCCCACAAGGGAUGGGAUCCUUACUUGUUGAUGAGGGGAGGAAAGAAAACGACAUUAGCGCUGGAGAAUUUUGGAUUUGGACAGUCUACUUUCUCUAUCUCGCCUUUUCUCUGUCCUAUUUAUUUAUUUAUCCUCCACAAUUUAAGCUAUUUCCUAAAGAAGAAAGCCUAACAACAUACUGAUAGCAUAAUUGCUCGCUUGUUUCCUUUUAU